ACAUUAUUGAAUUUAAUGUAGAGUUGGUUGUAGCUGGCCCAAUUUAAUAGUUGGGCAUGUGCACACCUUCUCUUUCAUCCACACACACCUGUGCACCUGUGAGACAGAAGUGGGACUUUUAAUUCAAUUUAAUUGGACCCUCUGUCUACUCAAUCCACACAAACUCAAUUUAAUUUAAAAUGAAUGUAACUGGAUGUAACACAUCUAAUACUAAGUUUCAACAACGGAUCUCUUGGCUCUCGCAUCGAUGAAGAACGCAGCGAAAUGCGAUAAGUAAUGUGAAUUGCAGAAUUCAGUGAAUCAUCGAAUCUUUGAACGCACCUUGCGCUCCUUGGUAUUCCUUGGAGCAUGCCUGUUUGAGUAUCAUGAAAUCUUCAAAGCAAAUCUUUUGUUAAAUCAAUUGGUUCCGCUUUGGUAUUGGAGGUUCUUGCAGCUUCACACCUGCUCCUCUUUGUGCAUUAGCUGGAUCUCAGUGUUAUGCUUGGUUCCACUCAGCGUGAUAAGUAUCUAUCGCUGAGGACACUGUAACAGGUGGCCAAGGUAAAUGCAGAUGAACCGCUUCCAAUAGUCCAUUUACUUGGACAAUAUUCUUAUGAUCUGAUCUCAAAUCAGGUAGGACUACCCGCUGAACUUAAGCAUAUCAAUAAGCGGAGGAAAAGACACUAACAAGGAUUCCCCUAGUAACGGCGAGUGAAGCGGGAAGAGCUCAAAUUUAAAAUCUGGCAGUGUAUUCUGUCCGAG
rnacentral:rRNA from 1 species